CCUACGGGUGGCAGCAGUGGGGAAUAUUGCACAAUGGGCGCAAGCCUGAUGCAGCCAUGCCGCGUGUGCGAAGAAGGCCUUCGGGUUGUAAAGCACUUUCAGCGGGGAGGAAGGCGGUGAGGUUAAUAACCUCAUCGAUUGACGUUACCCGCAGAAGAAGCACCGGCUAACUCCGUGCCAGCAGCCGCGGUAAUACGGAGGGUGCAAGCGUUAAUCGGAAUUACUGGGCGUAAAGCGCACGCAGGCGGUCUGUCAAGUCGGAUGUGAAAUCCCCGGGCUCAACCUGGGAACUGCAUUCGAAACUGGCAGGCUAGAGUCUUGUAGAGGGGGGUAGAAUUCCAGGUGUAGCGGUGAAAUGCGUAGAGAUCUGGAGGAAUACCGGUGGCGAAGGCGGCCCCCUGGACAAAGACUGACGCUCAGGUGCGAAAGCGUGGGGAGCAAACAGGAUUAGAUACCCCGGUAGUC
rnacentral:rRNA from 1 species